rnacentral:tRNA from 1 species
CUGCUUAUGGUGUAAGGCUAAACACGUUAGUUUUUCGUUCUAAAGAUACAGUGUUAGAUUUGUUGAGCAGU